rnacentral:rRNA from 1 species
UACGUAGGGGGCGAGCGUUGUCCGGAUUUAUUGGGCGUAAAGAGCGUGUAGGCGGCCAGGUAGGUCUGCUGUGAAAACUCGAGGCUCAACCUCGAGACGUCGGCGGAAACCAUCUGGCUAGAGUCCGGAAGAGGAGAGUGGAAUCCUGGUGUAGCGGUGAAAUGCGCAGAUAUCAGGAAGAACACCCGUGGCGAAGGCGGCUCUCUGGGACGGUACUGACGCUGAGACGCGAAAGCGUGGGGAGCGAACAGG